UUUGUGAACAGUGGGUAGUAGAAUCAUGGAGACAGGAUAGGAAUUGUUAGAAGUCAAGUGAUAGUACCAGGCUAUGUACUAGUGGGUAGACAGUGUUCAGUAAGAUACAGGGAAAGUAUGGCCAAGAACCUUUUUAGAAGACACCUAUGUACAGGAUUAGAUAGACUAUUCCAGUGAGUGGAUUGUGUCUGCAUAUAUCAGAGUUUAUAGUGUAUGCUUCCUGAACAGGGAUGUGUGGCUGCCAUUUGCCAGACAGGGAAGUGUUUUGAGAGAGAGCAGUGACCAGGUUAUUGAUCCCAUGAAAUGAGCUGUUAGACAUGAAAGGGUGUCUGCAGAUUAGCCAAGUCCCUUGACUGUUUUAGACAACCAAGGCAACUAUUAGAAAAGAAAGCAUUUAACUGGGGACUUGCUUACAAUUUCAAAGGUUUAGUCCAUUAACAUAAUGGAGAGGAGCAGAGCAUCAUACAGUUGAGUACUGGAGCAAUAGCUGAGAGCUGUUCUGAAGGCACAGACAGACAGACAGACAGACAGACUCUGAGCUUGACAUGGGCUUUUGAAACUUCAGAGCUCAUCCCUACCUCCUGACACACUUCUCCAAUAUGGCCGCCUCCUAAUCCUUUCAAAUAGUUCCACUCUGUGGUGACUAAGCAUUGAAGUAUAUGAGCCUAUGGAGGCCAUUCUUAUUCACACCACCAUAUUGACUUUAUUCAGUUGGGUCCAGGAUAAGUAGAUGUUCCAGGUCAUACUGGAUCACCAGUGAGAUGGAGAAGCAGCAAUGAGAUUGAUGCUGUUUCAUUCCCCUUUCCUCAUAUCUGUUGAUGCACAGUUCAGGUUGAUGGGUGAGCUCCCUCUAAAGAAGGAAAGCAUGGACAUCUAGACAUUUGAGUUCAGGAUGCCAGAACCAGGCCACCUCAACAAAGUCCUUUAAUGCAGAGUUCAGGGAGAGCUGAACAAGCAGAGCCACAUUGGGUCACUUCCUUUCUCACUGCAGUGGAAUGAAGUGUGACUUCUAAAAAGAAAGAUUGAGGUCUUAACCUUAGAACCCUGAAUCAGACUUGGGUUGAAAGUAGAAUCAUUGCAGGUGUGAUGUAACUUAAGGUAUUCAGUCACAUGGAAAUCGUGUGAGUACUUGCAUGGAGAUGCCAGCAGCCCUCAAAACCAAGAGGAGGCCUGGAAGGACUCCUUUCCUGACUCCUGGCAUGAAGCAGACUGUGACUCACACAGUGUUCUUUGCUAGUUUACCCGUUAUAUCUGCUUUAAGAUGACUCUAAACUUAACAGUUGAGAUUCCUCUUGUAAACAGCCAAUGUCUGGGAAUUCUGCUUUGAUAUGCAAUUUUAAAUGAUCUAAAAUUAAAAUAAAAAAUGUGUUGCGGGACCUC
rnacentral:lncRNA from 1 species